rnacentral:rRNA from 1 species
GACGAACGCUGGCGGCGUGCCUAACACAUGCAAGUCGAACGAAGAGCGACGGAAGCUUGCUUCUAUCAAUCUUAGUGGCGAACGGGUGAGUAACGCGUAAUCAACCUGCCCUUCAGAGGGGGACAACAGUUGGAAACGACUGCUAAUACCGCAUACGAUCUAACCUCGGCAUCGAGGAUAGAUGAAAGGUGGCCUCUACAUGUAAGCUAUCACUGAAGGAGGGGAUUGCGUCUGAUUAGCUAGUUGGAGGGGUAACGGCCCACCAAGGCGAUGAUCAGUAGCCGGUCUGAGAGGAUGAACGGCCACAUUGGGACUGAGACACGGCCCAGACUCCUACGGGAGGCAGCAGUGGGGAAUCUUCCGCAAUGGACGAAAGUCUGACGGAGCAACGCCGCGUGAGUGAUGACGGCCUUCGGGUUGUAAAGCUCUGUUAAUCGGGACGAAAGGCCUUCUUGCGAAUAGUGAGAAGGAUUGACGGUACCGGAAUAGAAAGCCACGGCUAGCUACGUG